GAUGAACGCUGGCGGCGUGCCUAAUACAUGCCAGUCGAGCGAACAGACGAGGAGCUUGCUCCUCUGACGUUAGCGGCGGACGGGUGAGUAACACGUGGAUAACCUACCUAUAAGACUGGGAUAACUUCGGGAAACCGGAGCUAAUACCGGAUAAUAUAUUGAACCGCAUGGUUCAAUAGUGAAAGACGGUUUUGCUGUCACUUAUAGAUGGAUCCGCGCCGCAUUAGCUAGUUGGUAAGGUAACGGCUUACCAAGGCGACGAUGCGUAGCCGACCUGAGAGGGUGAUCGGCCACACUGGAACUGAGACACGGUCCAGACUCCUACGGGAGGCAGCAGUAGGGAAUCUUCCGCAAUGGGCGAAAGCCUGACGGAGCAACGCCGCGUGAGUGAUGAAGGUCUUCGGAUCGUAAAACUCUGUUAUUAGGGAAGAACAAAUGUGUAAGUAACUAUGCACGUCUUGACGGUACCUAUCAGAAAGCCACGGCUAACUACGUG
rnacentral:rRNA from 1 species